AUACGAAGGGGGCUAGCGUUGUUCGGAAUCACUGGGCGUAAAGCGCACGUAGGUGGACUAAUUAGUUGAGGGUGAAAUCCCGGGGCUUAACCUCGGAACUGCCUUCAAUACUGUUAGUCUUGAGUCCGAGAGAGGUGAGUGGAAUUCCUAGUGUAGAGGCGAAAUUCGUAGAUAUUAGGAAGAACACCAGUGGCGAAGGCGGCUCACUGGCUCGGUACUGACGCUGAGGUGCGAAAGCGUGGGGAGCAAACAGGAUUAGAAACCCUAGUAGUCC
rnacentral:rRNA from 1 species